rnacentral:lncRNA from 1 species
UUCAUUCAGCGCUAGAGAUGCUAGAGAUUGUUGACCUUUCGUUAAUCGGACGCGCAAGCUAGCGGAGAGCCGUUGUGCGGAGGAGGUCCAUUCGGCGCUGCGCCAAAACCAGCGGCCCGGCCCGUCUUGUUCGAAGCAGACGGCUUUUCUCAUUGGGCGCUUGUCGCUAAACCGCAGCCGAUUUCGUGUUCUCAAGUGCGUAGUGCGGCGGCAACAGCUCUCCGAACUUUGAACGCGCCGUCCCUUUACUGCCGGAAUGGAGUGUCUGUAUGUGGAGGAGGCUGCAUUGCACAACCUGCUCCCUGCAGACAAUGAAAGCAUCCUGGAUAGGAACAUGGGCCAAAGGCUGAAUCAGCAGCUUGAAUAGGCCCAUAAACCUCUACAGGGCAGCUGCGUGCGUGCACCCGGACAUGAACAUCUGGGAAAAAUAAUAAAUAAAAAUGCUGUAUAAUCCGAAGGUGAAUCGGUAAUUACAGAACAUUUUUACAGUAGUGUUUAUAGCUUUCACACAGGGCCUUCAGCAUAAAUGUAAAGAAUAACAAUACCAAUAGCCAUUCA